AGUUAGUAUAUUAGGACUUAGGAGCAUUAUAUUUGUUUUGUAAAUAACCAUCUAGUUCAACAAACAAGCUGACCUACCAUAACCGAAUAGUCAAGACCAAAAACAAGAAGAGAGGUCAAUUGCUUGUAGCGUUGAAAGAGUAAUUCAUGAAUGGCCCAUCUUUGCCAUUGUCCAAGAAAUUGACGCACCUUAAACGAGUCGUUGAAACAACUGUCACAGCAGCAGAGCAAUGCAAAUCUCUCUUAGAACACUGCGCCAAAAUCAAAUCUUCAAGAACCACCAAGGGAGUCCAUGCCCAUACCAUCACUCUUGGGCUCCUUCAAUCCAUCAGCUCGGCCCAUUUGCUUUCUCUCCUGACAGCAGCAUAUGCACUCUGUGGUCACACUUCAUACGCUCGCAAAGUGUUCGAUGAAUUGCCUCAACGAACUUUGCUGUCAUACAGAUCUAUGAUAAGAAUGUACACACAGAAGGGGUUCCCUAACGUUGCGCUUAAACUCUUCGGGGAAAUGCUGCGAUCGGAUAAACACAAGCCUGAUAGGCAUACAUUUCCAUAUGUGAUUAGGGCAUGCAGUGAUUUGUUCUUACUUCAGCAGGGUGUUGUUAUUCAUGGGUUGACUGUUAUAAGUGGGCAUAUGUGGGAUACUUUUGUGGGAAAUUCACUCUUGUCCAUGUAUAUGAGUUGUGGAGAUAAAGAGGGUGCUAAGAGGGUCUUUGAUGCAAUGCAGGUAAGAACUAUUGUGACCUGGAACACUAUGAUCAGUGGGUAUUGUCGAAAUGAUAGUCCCAAGGAGGCCCUAAUGAUUUACAGGAGAAUGGAAGAUGCUGGUGUUGAAGCUGAUUGUGCCACCAUGCUUUCCGUGUUGCCUGCGUGUGGGUGUCUGAAGGACUUUGAGAUGGGCAGAGAGGUUCACACACUGGUUGAACAAGUAGGUUUUUGGGACAAUUUGUCAGUUCGGAAUGCUGUCGUUGAUAUGUACGUCAAGUGUGGAAGAAUGGAUGAGGCAAGGUUGGUUUUUGAGAAGAUGAUCGAUAGAGAUGUGGUGACUUGGACUACAAUGAUCCACGGGUUCAUUUCAGAUGGUGACAUAAAAAAUGCACUAUGGUUUUCUCAAAGGAUGCAGCUUGAAGGUGUAAAGCCGAAUGCAGUAACUCUGGCAUCCCUUCUUGCUGCAUGUGCCAGUUUGCCUCAUUUGAAGCUUGGUAAAUGCCUGCAUGGCUGGGCUAUCAGGCAGGACCUUCAGGCUGAUGUUAACGUAGAAACUGGCCUUAUUGACAUGUAUGCUAAAUGCGAUUGUUUUAGACUUGGCUAUCAGGUAUUUGCAAAGACUACCAAGAAGAGGACUGUCCCAUGGAAUGCAAUUUUGUCUGGGUGUCUUCAUAAUGAGCUUGCAAGAGAAGCGAUAGAGCUUUUCAAGUUCAUGUUGUCAGAGGCUGUCAAACCUAAUGAUGCAACCCUGAAAAGUGUACUUCCUGCAUUUGCCAUUGAAGCUGAUCUCAGGCAAGCGUUGAGCGUGCACAGCUAUCUUGUAAGAUCUGGAUUUAUUACAAGAACUGAGGUAGCUACUGGUUUAGUUGAUAUAUACUCGAAAUGUGGAAACUUAGAUAAUGGUCACAAGAUCUUCAAUGGGAUACCCAAGAAAGAAAGGGACAUAAUCUUAUGGAGUACGUUAAUAGCUGGUUAUGGGAUGCAUGGGCAUGGCGGAACUUCUUUGUCACUGUUUAAUGAGAUGGUGCAAUCUGGGGUCAAACCUAACGAAGUCACUUUCACCUCGGUUUUGCAUGCUUGCGGUCAUGCUGGUUUGGUGGAUGAUGGUCUUUGUUUGUUUAAUUUUAUGCUUAGAAAUCACUCUGGUAGUCUUAGAACAGACCAUUAUACCUGUAUGGUUGAUCUUCUUGGUCGAGCUGGCCGACUUAAGGAGGCAUAUGAACUUAUUAAAACUAUGACUUUUGAACCAAGUCAUGCCAUCUGGGGUGCACUACUUGGUGCCUGUGUGAUACAUGAAAAUGUGGAACUGGGAGAAUUGUCUGCAAGGUGGCUGUUUAAGCUGGAGCCAGAGAACACAGGAAAUUAUAUACAGUUGGGAAAGAUCUAUGCUGCAGUUGGAAGAUGGAAAGAUGCAGAGAAUGUGAGACUUUGGAUGAAUGAAGUCGGACUAGUAAAGACACCAGCUCAAAGUGUCAUUGGUUGACAAGUAUGUGAUUUCUUUUAGUUUCCUUGCAAAUAGAGCCAAACGAGAGCUGGAGGGUGAGGACAACAUCCGAGAAAUAUGUAACAAUAAGAUGAAAGCUAACCCCAUUAGUCUCCGGUGGUGUUUAUAACCUCCUCGAUUUUGCUAUUGUAAUUAUAUUUCUUCUGUGCUCCUCAUACCCGCUCAAUGUAUAAUUGCAAGAUGGAUUCAUUUUAUAUAAUCGGUCAAUCACAACUGUUCAUGUGCUGAGAUUGAAGGUGGUUGAAAUCAUCAUUUAACUUCAAGAAUUCACAUAGCUCGAGUCACUAUGGCAAGAGAAGGCCUGAAAAUUAAUUGUGAUGCCUAUUGGCGAGCAACCGGAAGUCCAAGUUUUUAUAUAUUUAUUUAUUUAUAAGGUCCCGCAUGUUACUAUGCUAGUUGGAGGGGUUCAAAGGCACUUCCAUGUUAGGAAUGUUUGGUUUAAAAAUAACUGCUUGCACAUACUUGUUUACAUCAAAUCAAACAAUUUAACUAUAGCUAUUUCAAAUUAAACCGAGAAUAUAUAUCAUUUUAAAG